rnacentral:rRNA from 1 species
UACGGGGGGGGCAAGCGUUGUUCGGAAUUACUGGGCGUAAAGCGCGUGUAGGCGGCUUUGCAAGUCGGGUGUGAAAGCCCUCAGCUCAACUGAGGAAGUGCGCCCGAAACUGCAGAGCUUGAGUGCCGGAGAGGGUGGCGGAAUUCCCCAAGUAGAGGUGAAAUUCGUAGAUAUGGGGAGGAACACCGGUGGCGAAGGCGGCCACCUGGACGGUAACUGACGCUGAGACGCGAAAGCGUGGGGAGCAAACAGG